rnacentral:tRNA from 6 species
GGAGGAGUCGCAUAGCCCGGUUCAUUGCGGGGGAUUGCUAAUCCCCUGAGCCGAAUAGGCUCACGUGGGUUCAAAUCCCACCUCCUCCG